rnacentral:rRNA from 1 species
GAUGAACGCUGGCGGCGUGCCUAAUACAUGCAAGUCGAGCGAACAGAUGAGGAGCUUGCUCCUCUGACGUUAGCGGCGGACGGGUGAGUAACACGUGGAUAACCUACCUAUAAGACUGGGAUAACUUCGGGAAACCGGAGCUAAUACCGGAUAAUAUAUUGAACCGCAUGGUUCAAUAGUGAAAGACGGUUUUGCUGUCACUUAUAGAUGGAUCCGCGCCGCAUUAGCUAGUUGGUAAGGUAACGGCUUACCAAGGCAACGAUGCGUAGCCGACCUGAGAGGGUGAUCGGCCACACUGGAGGUGAGACACGGUCCAGACUCCUACGGGAGGCAGCAGUAGGGAAUCUGCCGCAAUGGGCGAAAGCCUGACGGAGCAACGCCGCGUGAGUGAUGAAGGUCUUCGGAUCGUAAAACUCUGUUAUUAGGGAAGAACAAAUGUGUAAGUAACUAUGCACGUCUUGACGGUACCUAAUCAGAAAGCCACGGCUAACUACGUG